rnacentral:lncRNA from 1 species
AUGGAUAUAAACGUAACGGAAGGUGCCAAUAAGGGGAAUUCGUGAGCACAUGAGAGGAGUGGGCAUAGUUAAUAAUAGUAUAGAGACAGCCCAGGCGAAUAGAAGAGAGAGCAAACAAGGAAGAAGCAUACAUAUUUUAAGAAGUGAUCGAUUCAAUUUUGUCGUAGAACAAGUCACCAGACUUGAGAACAGGUCACCAGACUUGAGAACCAGACUUGAGAACCAAACUUGAGAAGCAACCUUGCAAGUUCAAACUCGUCCAAGAUGUGUUCAAAGGUCAACCAGACCGUUGGCAAGAUCAGAGACAAGUUGGAGUUCUAAAUUAGUUAAAAUCACAUGAUCUAUUUAGAGGAGAGAGGAAGAAAGAGUUGUUGAGGUGUUGUCCCUUUCAGCUCAUCUUGCAACACCAUUCUUUAUUAUUUCUCUCUUUGUUUAUAUCUCAUCUCUGGGCC